ensembl:lncRNA
UUUUUUUUUCUAAAAAUAAAAGAAUAAACGUUACGUAUAUUAAAAAAAAAAAAAAAGGACAUUAGGGAAACACUAAGGGAAUCUGAAAAAAGAAUGGACUUUAGGGUGUCCCCAUUGUGGCUCAGUGGGUUAAGAACCUGACUAGUAUCCAUGAGAACGCGGGUUCAAUUCCUGGCCUUGCUCAGUGGGUAAGGGAUCUAGCAUUGCUGCAAGCUGUGGCAUAGAUUGCAGAUGUGGCUUUGAUCUGGUGUUGCUGUGGCCAUGGCGUAAGCCAGCAGCUGUAGCUCCAAUUCAACCCCUAACCUAAGAGCUUCCAUAUGCCACUAGUGUGGCCCUAAAAAGAAUCCUCCCCCCAAAAAAAGUAUGGACUUUAGUUAACAAUAACAUAUCAGUAUUUGUUCAUUAGUUGUCACAAAUACGCCACUUUAAUGUAAGAUGUCACUUGGGGAAAUUAGGUGCAUGCGGUGUAUGGCAACUCUGCAUUAUCUUUGCAAUUUUUCUGUAAAUCUAAAGCAAACAAAGAGAAACUAGGCCCUAGGGAUCUGUUCAAGCCACUUGCUGGGGUAUCAGUCUUUGGGGUGCGCUGUGACUACAUCACCACCCCCACCACAUAUCCCAAUGCUGGUUAGCACCACCGCUAACAUUAUAGACCCAGGAGAAUGGUCCCCACAUCUGGGUGCCUAGAUGUGGAUGAUGCAGCCUUUCUUAGGGCCAAGUCAGGCCCUAAGUUUUGUUUCUUCUCUUUUCUUUCUCCCUUUCUUUCCUUUUCUUUGUGGGGCUGCACCCGUGGCAUAUGGAAAUUUCCAGGCCAGGGGUUGAAUCAGAGCUGCCAGCUGCUGGUCCACACCACAGCCACAGCAAUGCCAGAUCUGAGCCACAUCUGUGACCUAUGCUACAGCUCAGGGAUCCUCAGCCCACUGAGCGAGGCCAGGAUCAAACCCGCAUCCUCAUGGAUACUAGUUGGGUUCGUAAUCUGAGCCAAAAAGGGAGCUUCCUAAGUUUUCUUGGAUGUGGACAUAUUUUGCAAAACUGUCAAUCCAGCUCUUUGGUCCCUACCUCGUAUGUCUAGAGUCUAUUGCUCCACCCCCCGCCCCCCCAGGAUGGCUCCUGCUCCAAGCUCUCUAGGAAGAAACAGAGUUUCCGCAGGAGGACGGUGCAGGCUCAGACCCAGGCUGCUGACUGCUCACUAAGCCAGUCUUCACCCACUGGCCCGCGCCAAGGGCCUGCCCUAGGAACUCUGUACUUGGCUCAGACGGGGCUGCAGUGUGGUAGACUUGGACAGAAACAGUUGUCACACAAACCAGUGCAGACCUACAACAGCAUGUCACACAGGGAAGGCAUCUGCAGGGGACAGAACAUGGCCCCCAAAGACAUGUCUGCCUUUGGGAAUGUGACAUUAUUUGUAAAAAGCCUUUGCGGAGGAGUUCCCGUCAUGGCGCAGUGGUUAACGAAUCCGACUAGGAACCAUGAGGUUGCGGGUUCGGUCCCUGCCCUUGCUCAGUGGGUUAACAAUCUGGCGUUGCCAUGAGCUGUGGUGUAGGUUGCAGACGCAGCUCGGAUCCCGCGUUGCUGUGGCUCUGGCGUAGGCCGGUGGCUACAGCUCUGAUUCAACCCCUGGCCUGGGAACCUCCAUAUGCCGCGGGAGCGGCCCAAGAAAUAGCAACAACAACAACAACAACAAAAGACAAAAAAAAGCCUUUGCGGAAAGAAUCUGAAGAUAUCAUCCUGGGUGAGAGUGGGUCCUAAAAAUCAAUGACAAGUGAUUGACCUGAUAGGAGAUAGAAAAACAAGACACAGACAGGGAGUCCAUGUCAAGAUUAGAGGUGGAGGAGUUCCCUCCGUGGCACAGUGAAUUAAGAAUCCAACUGCAGUGGCUUGGGUUGCUGUGGAGGUGUGAGUUCAAUCCCUCGGCCUGGCACAGUGGGUCAAAGGAUCCAGGGCUUAGCAGAAAUGGAUCUGACUA